GACGUAGGGCGCGAGCGUUGUCCAGAUUUAUUGGGCGUAAAGAGCUCGUAGGCGGCUCGUUGCGUCGGCUGUGAAAACCCGCAGCUCAACUGUGGGCUUGCAGCCGAUACGGGCGGGCUGGGAUUCGGUAGGGGAGACUGGAAUUCCUGGUGUAGCGGUGAAAUGCGCAGAUAUCAGGAGGAACACCGGUGGCGAAGGCGGGUCUCUGGGACGGUACUGACGCUGAGACGCGAAAGCGUGGGGAGCGAACAGG
rnacentral:rRNA from 1 species